rnacentral:rRNA from 1 species
GCACAAGCAGCGGAGCGUGUGGUUUAAUUCGAUGCUACACGAAGAACCUUACCAGGGUUUGACAUACAAGUAGUAGGGAAAGGAAACUGGACCGACCCUUCGGGGAGCUUGUACAGGUGCUGCAUGGCUGUCGUCAGCUCGUGUCGUGAGAUGUUCGGUUAAGUCCGCUAACGAGCGCAACCCUCGCUGUGUGUUACAAGUGUCACACGGAACUGCCGGUCAUAAACCGGAGGAAGGUGGGGAUGACGUCAAGUCAGCAUGGCCUUUAUGACCAGGGCUACACACGUACUACAAUGGCCGGUACAAAGGGCAGCGACACAGCGAUGUGAAGCCAAUCCCGAAAAGCCGGUCUCAGUCCGGAUUGGAGUCUGCAACUCGACUCCAUGAAGUUGGAAUCGCUAGUAAUCGCGGAUCAGCACGCCGCGGUGAAUACGUUCCCGGGCCUU